rnacentral:rRNA from 1 species
AUUGAACGCUGGCGGCAGGCCUAACACAUGCAAGUCGAACGAGUGGCGGACGGGUGAGUAAUGUCUGGGAAACUGCCCGAUGGAGGGGGAUAACUACUGGAAACGGUAGCUAAUACCGCAUACCAUCGGAUGUGCCCAGGUGGGAUUAGCUAGUAGGUGGGGUAACGGCUCACCUAGGCGACGAUACCUAGCUGGUCUGAGAGGAUGACCAGCCCCGCUGGAACUGAGACACGGUCCAGACGCCUACGUGAGGCAGCGGUGGGGAGUAUUGCACAAUGGGCGCAAGCCUGAUGCAGCCAUGCCGCGUGUAUGAAGAAGGCCGUCGGGUUGUAAAGUACUUUCAGCGGGGAGGCAUUACUCGCAUAAGAAUCACCGGCUAACGUCGUGCCAGCAGCCGCGGUAAUAC